rnacentral:lncRNA from 1 species
AAUUCCAGGGAAUGGAGCUAGUCAUGCCACACAUCUUUGCUGUUUUCACGAACUGAGGUAAUUUUUAUUUUUAUUUUUAUUUUUUUGAGGAACAGUCUUACUCUGUCACCCAGGCUGCAGUGUAGUGGUGUGAUCACAGCUCACUGCAGCCUUGACCUCCUGGGCUUAGGUGAUCCUCCCACCCUAGCCUCCCAUGUAGCUGGGACUAGAGGUAUGUGCCACCUCACCUCCUUUUUUUCUUUUCUUUUUCUUUUUUGGAGAGACAGAUUCUUCUUAUGUUGCUAUUUUAAACUCCUGAACUCAAGUGAUCCUCCUGCCUUGGCCUCCCAAAGUGCUGGGAUUACAGGUGUGAGACACUGCACCCUGCCCAAGCACCUCUGCUCCGUGCCAUGCUCUUGGCUAAUUGGAGUUGUGAAAGGCAUGAGGAUUCUGGUCAUGGACUCAGCUCUCCCAUAGGGUUCUGACACCAAAGCAAUGGUCACAACAGUGAAAGGAAGAAUCCAUCUGGCCAGGCUCAGGUGGUUCAAGGCCUUCAGAAUCUGCCUUGAGACUCUCACUGGCUUUAGACUGAAAACCAUCUUGGCCCCGUCCAUCCGUGUAAGCAAUUUAACGACAGCUUGCAAAGCACCGAGCUUUAACAGAAAGAAGAGAUGAGCACAGCGCAAGAACUUGGACUCCAGAAGAGCUGCCUAACAGAUUAUUUUUCUGUGGCAUUUCAUGAGAACAAACGAAGUAGGAAUUUUCCUUUUGUUUGUCUGGCCUUUGGCAUCGUUUACUUUCUUUUUAUUCUUCUGAAAUGUACUUCGAGCCCUGGCAGCAUUUCUGUCCUAAAAUCUUAUUGUCAGAGGUUUAUUUUUCAGCUUUUCAAAUCAUAUCUGAUAGAGUGAGUGUACUGCCUGGACUCAUCACUUUACUUCAGAAGAAAUACAGCUCACCCUUUAAAUGACAAUGGUGACUGUCCACAUCUUUAUGUUUUCUACACUGAAGUGGCAGGCUUCAUUUAAAAAUAAUGUUUUCCCUCAUCAAAAGAGAGCUAGGGUAGAACCGUCAACUCUGCUGUUGUCUGGGUAGUGACCUAACACCCACGUUUUGGACAAUCACUCACUGUCUUAUAUUGGGUUUUCAUUGCAUGUAGGAUAAUUCUUUGUCAAUGGUAGUUUUGUCAACCGUGAUCUGAGGUAAUGAGGUUUUCUACUUUUGCUUGAAAUUUUGAAAAUAUGCAAGCUUUAAACAUUUGCAAAGUUGGAUUCUGUUUUCUUUAGAAAGCAAUCUGAUUUGCUGAUAUUCUCUCCAUCUGUCAGGGGAUGCGUGAUGUGGUGUAGACUUAAUGUGCUGCCUUUCUGGAACAUGGACAGAGUAGCAGCACAGAAAAAUGAGCAUUUCAGCUCUGUGAUGAUUUGUGAAAAAAAAUCUCAGAUCAUUGAGCAGGCAUUUUGCUGACACCUGUGAAAAGUAACCACAUGAGAGAGCAUGGCGUGAUGGUCGGAGGCCACGUGCUGGAGCUGGACUGCUUGAGUCAAAUCCCAGCUGCUCAGCUGUAGUGAACUGAAUGGUGGUCCCCAAAAGAUACAUGUAUCUCCUAAUCCCUGGAACCUGUGAAUGUGACCUUAUUAGGCAAAAGGGUCUUUGCAGAUGUAAUUACAUUGAGGCUCUCAGAGAUGAGAACAUCCUGGAUUAUCAGGGUGGGUCCUAUAUCCAAUGACAAGUGUCUCCUUAUAGGAGACAGAAGAAGUUGCAGACCCGGAAGAGACUAAGUAAAGAUGGAGGCAGAGACUGGAGUGAGGCUGCUGCAGGCCAAAAAUGCCUGGUGCCAGCAAAAGCUGGAAGAGGCAAGGAAGGACCUUUCCCUGGGGCUUUUGGAGGGAGUGCAGCCCUGCUGAUGCCUUAGUGUUGGAUAUCUGGGCUAUGGAACUAUGAGAGAGAAACUUCUGUUGUUUUAAGCCACCUAGUUUGUGGUACUCUGUUAUGGCAGCCACAGGAAACUAAUACACUCUUUACCACCUGAGUGACCUUGGCCAACUUACUUAACCUCCAUGAAUCAGUCCCCUCAAAGGACCACCCUCCCCCCAGGGUCACUGUGAUGAUAAAGUGCUUUAGCAUAGGUGACUGGUUUAGACCAGGGCCUGGUACCUAGCACAUGCUAUGCCAGUGUUUCUAUCAUGGCAGCAGCAGAUGCAGUGGAGCUUAGAUUUCAACUGUGUCCAUGCUGGUUAGAAAAGUCACAGUCUGGGACACAGGACACUUCUGGAAGAAUCUCCCUCAGUGGAUCCCAGUGUUCCAGCAAUGUUUUCCAAGCAGCUGAAGAACAGGAAGCAGGAACAGGGUUCCCUACAAGAGCCAUUAUUCAGAUGCCUCUACAUCUGACUGGUUUCGGAGAAGUGUGACUUCUGGAGGUUUAUGUGCUGGGACUUUAACAGCAUACGUACUAAAAACCACAUUUAUGUUUCCUCAAAUGCUGGGCUCUCUAUGAGCCUUGACCUGCCUGAGAAGAUUAGAGGCGGCUGCCUAAUCUGAUCAGUCAACUCAGUGAAACAACUGCAUUGAUUAAAGCCAUAAGAUGUUAGGAUUCUCUGUUCUUGGUGGCCUAAAAGGUCCCAUUCCUUUCCCAAAGUGCUUAGCUUGAUCCCAUCCCAGGGAACAAUUUUGGGUGGAGGAGAACCUGGCCACAGAUCAUAAGAUCAUGUAUGACUAAGUCUACUUGCCUUCAUGGAAACAUACAUGGAGUUUUGGGCAAUUUCUUUGAAGCCCCUCUAGAGGCUUCUAAAGAUUGUUUAGUGCCAUCUGGUUUUUAAUCCUGGAUGUCAAACUUGUUGAUUUUUGCCCUGGACCAUCUGUUUUUCAACUUCCCACGGAACCUUUCCUUUGGGCCAAGUAGGGAAAGAAAUACUAUAUUUUUAAUUCUUUUUGUUUUGCCUUCUCAUCCCAGUCACAGCAUUAGAAAGGGAAAAUCGACUGUCUGACAAAGCUCUGAAAGACUGGACAUGAAGUGCUGGCCUUGCUAUCUGCAGGGCAUCUCCCUAUAGAUUGGAUACCUUUUCCUUCACUCUCUGAUAAAAAGUGAGACAGACUGAGCAUAGUCCUGUGACCAUUUAAUGCCUGUGCCCAGAACAUGGGUCUGUACCACUUGCAGGAGUCACAGUGGGGAGGAGCAGGGACCUUGGGGUCUGCCUGCCUCUGUCUGAAUUCCAGCUGAGCCCAUUCCUAGGCCAGUGCCUGGGAAAGUUAUCUGACCUCUGAGAUCCAGUCUACUAGCCUCACAAGUGAGACUGUGACAACACUUACCUCAAUGAGGCACUGGACAUCAUCUCAUUUAAUCCUCAACAUGCCUCAGUGUCCAGCAUUUAACAAGCUCCCAUAAACAUUAGUUACUCUCAUUCCUUAAUAUGAAUAGCAUUUAAAAUAAUAAAGUGGGAGAGAGCAAUGCUGCAUGCCCUACAACUGGCCAGAGAGCUUGCAGCAAGGAGAAUGCUUAGGUGGAACAUACAGGCCUUUUCUGUGUUCAUCCCAUUCCAAAGGAUUUGGUGUUGCCAUAUAUGGAACAUGAAGAUUAGAAAUGGCCAUUUCCAAACUGGUGAAUCCCUUGGUGCCUUUUUCUCCAUUGUGAUUCAUCCGGGGUACCCUCAGUUUUCAGUGGUCAUGGUCAUUCCAAACCAGCCAUGAGCUGGGGGAACAUUGUACUGUGGUAAACCCAGGGCCACCUGACCAGAGCUUCUCCAAUUUUAUAAACCCAAGUUGUAGGUGGGAUGAUGGAUGCAGGCUUCCCUGGCAAAUGCUUCCUGGGCAUUGUAGACACUGUCACUUCUAGGGGGCUGCAGUUGCCUCAUUGUAUAAUUCUGGUCAUCAGAAAGGAGGCAGUAAUGGAUGAGCUGCCCUUCUGGACAAAAUGACAUCUCUCUUAUUGAAAAAGGCUAAGAAGCUAUUUUCUUUUCCCCCUCUGCAACCACUAUUUAUUGCAUGAGAUUUCAGAAUGAUGAUGAUAAAAAAGCAAGUUUAUAGAGACAUCAUGAGGUUGUGUAAAUAAAAUAAAGUAAUAUCUGGGACAGAUAUACCAAAGAAAAUUGAACCCAAAAUGUCUAACUUUGCAGUCCAUACUCAGCCAG